rnacentral:rRNA from 1 species
AAAAUCCGGGAUUCUAAGGCCGAGAGCUGAUGACGAGUUACCCUUUGGGUGACGAAGUGGUUGAUGCCAUGCUUCCAAGAAAAGCUUCUAAGCUUCAGGUAACCAGGAACCGUACCCCAAACCGACACAGGUGGUUGGGUAGAGAAUACCAAGGCGCUUGAGAGAACUCGGGUGAAGGAACUAGGCAAAAUGGCACCGUAACUUCGGGAGAAGGUGCGCCGGUGAGGGUGAAGGACUUGCUCCGUAAGCCCACGCCGGUCGAAGAUACCAGGCCGCUGCGACUGUUUAUUAAAAACACAGCACUCUGCAAACACGAAAGUGGACGUAAAGGGUGUGACGCCUCCCCGGUGCCGGAAGGUUAAUUGAUGGGGUUAGCUAACGCGAAGCUCUUGAUCGAAGCCCCGGUAAACGGCGGCUGUAACUAUAACGGUCCUAAGGUAGCGAAAUUCCUUGUCGGGUAAGUUCCGACCUGCACGAAUGGCGUAACGAUGGCGGCGCUGUCUCCACCCGAGACUCAGUGAAAUUGAAAUCGCUGUGAAGAUGCAGUGUAUCCGCGGCUAGACGGAAAGACCCCGUGAACCUUUACUAUAGCUUUGCACUGGACUUUGAAUUUGCUUGUGUAGGAUAGGUGGGGGGCUUCGAAGCGUGGACGCCAGUUCGCGUGGAGCCAACCUUGAAAUACCACCCUGGCAACUUUGAGGUUCUAACUCAGGUCCGUUAUCCGGAUCGAGGACAGUGUAUGGUGGGUAGUUUGACUGGGGCGGUCUCCUCCUAAAGAGUAACGGAGGAGUACGAAGGUGCGCUCAGACCGGUCGGAAAUCGGUCGUAGAGUAUAAAGGCAAAAGCGCGCUUGACUGCGAGACAGACACGUCGAGCAGGUACGAAAGUAGGUCUUAGUGAUCCGGUGGUUCUGUAUGGAAGGGCCAUCGCUCAACGGAUAAAAGGUACUCCGGGGAUAACAGGCUGAUACCGCCCAAGAGUUCAUAUCGACGGCGGUGUUUGGCACCUCGAUGUCGGCUCAUCACAUCCUGGGGCUGAAGCCGGUCCCAAGGGUAUGGCUGUUCGCCAUUUAAAGUGGUACGCGAGCUGGGUUUAGAACGUCGUGAGACAGUUCGGUCCCUAUCUGCCGUGGACGUUUGAGAUUUGAGAGGGGCUGCUCCUAGUACGAGAGGACCGGAGUGGACGAACCUCUGGUGUUCCGGUUGUCACGCCAGUGGCAUUGCCGGGUAGCUAUGUUCGGAAUAGAUAACCGCUGAAAGCAUCUAAGCGGGAAACUAGCCUCAAGAUGAGAUCUCACUGGGACCUUGAGUCCCCUGAAGGGCCGUCGAAGACUACGACGUUGAUAGGUUGGGUGUGUAAGCGCUGUGAGGCGUUGAGCUAACCAAUACUAAUUGCCCGUGAGGCUUGACC